AUUGAACGCUGGCGGCAUGCCUUACACAUGCAAGUCGAACGGCAGCACGGGGGCAACCCUGGUGGCGAGUGGCGAACGGGUGAGUAAAGCAUCGGAACGUACCCGGAAGUGGGGGAUAACGUAGCGAAAGUUACGCUAAUACCGCAUAUUCUGUGAGCAGGAAAGCAGGGGAUCGCAAGACCUUGCGCUUUCGGAGCGGCCGAUGUCGGAUUAGCUUGUUGGGGGGGUAAAGGCCUACCCAGGCGACGACCCGUAGCGGGUCUGAGAGGAUGAUCCGCCACACUGGGACUGAGACACGGCCCUGACUCCUACGGGAGGCAGCAGUGGGGAAUUUUGGACAAUGGGGGCAACCCUGAUCCAGCCAUGCCGCGUGAGUGAAGAAGGCCUUCGGGUUGUAAAGCUCUUUCGGCCGGGAAGAAAUCGCACGGGAUAAUACCCCGUGUGGAUGGCGGUACCGGAAUAAGAAGCACCGGCUAACUACGUGCCAGCAGCCGCAGUAAAAC
rnacentral:rRNA from 1 species